rnacentral:rRNA from 1 species
AACGUAGGAGACAAACGUUAUCCGGAGUUACUGGGCGUAAAGGGCGUGUAGGCGGGAUGGCAAGUCAGUCGUGAAAUCUCUCGGCUCAACCGAGAAACGUCGGCUGAUACUGCCGUUCUUGAGGGAUGCAGAGGAGACUGGAAUUCCCGGUGUAGCGGUGAAAUGUGUAGAGAUCGGGAGGAACACCGGUGGCGAAGGCGGGUCUCUGGGCAUUUCCUGACGCUGAGGCGCGAAAGCGUGGGGAGCAAACGGG